AGCUGCAUUUUUCUACCUUCUGUGAUCAUCUAUCACGUGACAUAAACAUAUUUCAUCUUCGUCUCUUAAUUCGGUUAUUAAAAAAAUCAUGAGUUCCAUCAAUCAAGGUCAUGCAAACAGCAAAAGGAUUUGGUCAUUCAACAGAGGCUCAGAGAUGUUGAGUAUUGCAUACUUUCAGGCGUCUUCAUUAGGCGAAUUUCAUCAGUGGCUUUAUAUUUUUGGCUUACUAUAAAUGUGUAUAUGCGUCAUCAAUACGUGACAUAAGCUUGCUUUCGCUCCACCGCCACUAGAGCUGAAUCAAUUGCACACAUUACAAGCGAAUGUCGACAGUGGGAGAGAUCGAAUGUGAACGGGUGGAUAAGUAACAUCUGUCAAUUAACAGCACACUGUCGCUGAACAUCAGGUGAACAUAAGUCAACUGCAUGCAAAUAUGCAGCAACAAACACUGUAAAUAAAAAGGACAAAUGGAAAUGAAAGGAAUGCGUACGGGAUUUUAUUGGAAAGGAUAAAUAUGUGUAUACAUAUGUAUAUGAAUGCACAUAAGUAUUGCUCAAAAAUAAUGUGCACUGCUGCUUGGAUGGCUGCGCUAAAACUUCUUUUUGACCGAUCGCCUAACAUUAUGACAAUUUAUUUAUUAUGGGCGAUUAGUACUAAUGAGUGGAAGGACGCAAAUGUGAAUAUUUACCAGCGCACUACAGUCGUAUAUGAAAUACCCAUAAAAAUGAAAGGGAGCUGAUUUCAGAAACUCCAAAAAUGCAAGGAAGCUGUAAACUUCUGCUCGAUUUUGGUAUUUUCAAUAAUGAAUGGAAGUUGUAAAUCUUGGACAGAUUUCUGUUGGUAUGAUCGGUCUAUAUUGUUUAAGAUUUAUACAUAAAACAAUAUAGGGAACUUAAAAAGUCACAUAAUCAUAAGGACGAGAUGAAAUAAAAUUAGCAUUGUGGUGCUUUAAGCUCCCAAGCUGACACCGUCGAACCGCUUUAUGCUCGAUCACCUGCUCCAAAAUACGAAACAAGCUGACAAUUGGGAGCGCAUAUGGAAUGAAUUAUUUAUUGAUCUAAUGAUAAUAUGAUACGUGUACAUACAUAGAUGAUAGUACUUAAGAGGCAAUAAAAUCAUUUUAAGUGGCAAUAUAUCUAAUAAAAAUCUAUAAAGUCUGGA